rnacentral:lncRNA from 1 species
GAUGAAUGUUAGUGAAGCAUCUAGUAGAAUACAAAUUGUCCACAUCAUAGCUCUCACUUUUUUCUCUGUCUCACAUGGCUGAGAAUGUAUACAGUUGCCAACAUAAAAGUGAAAAUGAGGUUAGAAUCCUGGGAAGUCAUGAAAGUGUAUGCUGAAGAUUGACUACCAGUUACCACGACAUCUUUUAUAUUCAAUGGGCUUACAUUCUAUUGAGAGAAGACAUAAUGGUGAACCAGAAAGGGAGUUUAUUGACUUUUGGGUACUGAAUCUUUUGUGUUGAGUUCCAGCUUUGGUAAGUAUGCCAAAAAAAAAAAUGAAAAGAGAAUGCCCCUUUCCCCUUUUCAUUUUUGCUGGACGUUUUUAAGCCUCCCUGAAGGAGAGGGAAGCCUCCCUUGGGAAGCCAGUAGUUGAUAAAAGUCCCUUUUAUGCAGAACAGCUCUCUUUCUAG